rnacentral:rRNA from 1 species
GUGCCAGCAGCCGCGGUAACACGUAGGGCGCAAGCGUUGUCCGGAUUCAUUGGGCGUAAAGAGCUCGUAGGCGGUUUGGUAAGUCGGGUGUGAAAACUCAGGGCUCAACUCUGAGAUGCCACCCGAUACUGCUAUGACUAGAGUCCGGUAGAGGAGUAUGGAAUUCCUGGUGUAGCGGUGAAAUGCGCAGAUAUCAGGAGGAACACCAAUUGCGAAGGCAGUACUCUGGGCCGGAACUGACGCUGAGGAGCGAAAGCGUGGGUAGCGAACAGGAUUAGAUACCCUCGUAGUCC